rnacentral:lncRNA from 1 species
CGCUAGAGGAAGGGACCGAAUCUCAGAGCGAUCGUAAUGGCACGGCGAGGUGGUCGUGGAGCUUCCAAUGCCUCCGGUCGCAGGGCCUCUCGCGCCUCCGGCCGGGAGGCCGCUGCGUCUCCAACACAUUCUCAGCAACACUCCACCGUUCCACCCCCCAUUCAGAUGGUCGAAGCCGCUCAGUUCGACCAGUUAGCCCAGCAGGUUCG